rnacentral:sRNA from 1 species
CCAGCAGUGUGUGAGAAUGAAGAGUGUGGGCCACUGUGUCUCUGUUGACCUGCCAGAUAGGAAAUAGCGCCAGAGUUGCUGCAAUCCACGUCUCCCUGGAAUUCAGGAGCAGCUUGGCUGGAAGGCUCUGGCUGGAAGCUUGCAGAAGGCUGUCAGCUGGGUCUGCAUCAUCUGAAGGCUCAACGGGUACCGGGGGCCACUCCAUGGCCUGCGAGUCAGAGCUGGCCGUCGGUGGGAGGCCUCAGUUCCUCUCCACAUAGGCCUCUCCACAGGGCCACUUGAGCAUCUUCCCACCAUGGCAACUGGUGUCCUCUAGAGCAACAUCCAGGAGACCAAGGCGGAAGCAGCUGUAGUGCCUUCUAGGACCUGGUCCUGAAAGUCACCCCUGCACCCACCCCCGCUGUCUCCUCAGCCAUAUUCUGCUGGUCACACAGAGCGCUGCAGGAUAAAGGAGGAGCGUCCUGCUUCCCGGCUGCCCUGUUGCUGUCGGAGUCACAGGAUGGCGGCUGUCAUCCUGCCCUCGACUGCUGCUCCGUCUUCCCUGUUCCCAGCCUCUCAGCAAAAAGGACACACACAGGGUGGAGAGCUGGUUAAUGAGCUCCUGACAAGCUGGUUACGGGUGAGUCAGAUGUUCCUUUUCCCAAAUCAUUAUUCCUUUGGCCAGAAGUUUGGACUUGAUACCUUCCAGCAGCCUGGAGCCUCAUGGCCAAACCAGGUCCUCAGGCAUCCCAGGAUUUCCAGGCAUCAGAUGGAGGGUGAGGGCUGCCCAGAAAAUGUCAGUGUGUGUCAAUGUUUACUGCAGGUUCAGAGCUCCCUCCAGGGUCCCUGAGUACAUCAUGUGCUCCUGAGAGUUUUAAGGGAAAGCCAAGUAAAGACGUGAUGAUGUUCUAAACCCAAGCAAUUAAUAAAGGCCAUACGGAAAUCAGUCAUUCACUUACCAAGUAUUUCUCUGAUUUCUGCCAUGUCACGGGCCCAUGAUCCCCUGGAGAUUGAGGGAAAUAAGAUCACAGGAGCUCCCAGUCUGAGUGAGAAAAGGCAGCUGCUCUGUGGUACUGUGCACUGGACCUGGGAAUGGCCUAAGGAGACAAGCAUUGAGGGCUGAGCUCAGAAGCCAGGGAGAAGAGCUCAGAACCCCAGGAGAGGAGCUCAGAACCCUGGGAGAGGAGCUCAGAACCCUGGGAGGGCUUGGUGACCUUCGAGGAUGUGGCCGUGGAGUUCACCCAGGAGGAGUGGGCGUUGCUGGACCCUGCCCAAAGGACACUGUACAGGGACGUGAUGCUGGAGAACUGCAGGAACCUGGCCUCACUGGGGUGUCGUGUUAAUAAACCCAGUCUGAUAUCCCAGUUGGAACAAGACAAGAGGGUGAUAACAGAGGAAAGAGGAAUUCUACCAAGCACCUGUCCAGAUUUGGAGACUCUACUUAAAGCCAAAUGGUUAACUCCUAAGAAGCAUGUUUUCAGAAAAGAACAGUCUAAAGGUGUAAAAACGGAAAGAAGUCAUCGUGGAGUGAAACUCAAUGAAUGUAAUCAGUGUUUUAAAGUCUUCAGCACGAAAUCUAACCUAACUCAGCACAAGAGAAUUCAUACUGGAGAAAAACCCUAUGACUGUAGUCAAUGUGGGAAGUCCUUCAGUAGCAGAUCUUACCUUACUAUUCAUAAGAGAAUCCAUAAUGGGGAGAAACCCUAUGAAUGCAAUCACUGUGGGAAAGCAUUUAGUGAUCCCUCAUCCCUUAGACUGCAUUUGAGAAUUCACACUGGAGAAAAACCCUACGAAUGUAACCAGUGUUUUCAUGUUUUCCGCACCAGUUGUAACCUCAAAAGCCACAAGAGGAUUCACACGGGGGAGAAUCACCAUGAAUGUAAUCAGUGUGGAAAAGCUUUCAGCACAAGGUCCUCUCUCACUGGGCACAAUAGCAUUCAUACAGGGGAGAAACCUUAUGAAUGUCACGAUUGUGGGAAAACCUUCAGGAAGAGCUCCUAUCUGACACAGCACGUAAGAACUCAUACUGGAGAAAAACCCUAUGAAUGUAACGAGUGUGGGAAAUCCUUCAGCAGUAGCUUUUCUCUUACUGUGCACAAGAGAAUACAUACUGGAGAGAAACCCUACGAGUGCAGUGACUGUGGAAAAGCCUUUAAUAAUCUCUCAGCUGUGAAGAAACACUUAAGAACUCACACUGGAGAAAAACCCUAUGAAUGUAAUCAUUGUGGGAAAUCCUUCACAAGUAACUCCUAUCUUUCUGUGCACAAGAGAAUACAUAAUAGGUGGAUAUGAAUUACUGCAGGAACUUCUGGAGGAAAGCACUCAUUGAUCUUUCAUCCCUAAGAUAGUUUGAGAGAGCUCACACUGGAUAUAUAAGUUAUUUGUUGCAGCAUAACAAAUGAUCCCCCCAAAUUUUGUGGCUUCAAACACGAAAUGUUUAUUCUCUAACAAUUUCUACAGGUCAGGAAUUCAAGAACGGCUUAUCUCUGUAGUUACACUGCAGGAUCUCUCAUGCCUUUACUUACAAUCAAGAUAUCAGCCAAAGAUAUGGUCAUCUAACAUCUUUACUGAUGAACAGUCCAUUUCCAAGAUGACUUACUCACAUGCCUGGAAAGUUGAUGUUGGUUGUUGUCAG